GAAGAACCUUACCUACCCUUGACAUCUAGAGAAUUUUCCAGAGAUAGAAGAGUGCUUUAAGGAGAUCUGAAACACAUGUUGCACGGGGCUGUUCUGAUCUUGUGUUGAGAUAUGUGGUUAAAUCUCGCAAAGAGCGCAAACCCCUUCCCUUGUUUCCAGAUCGUUAAGUUGGGCACUUUAAGGAGACUGCCGGUGAUAAACCGGAGGAAGGUGGGGAUGACGUCAAGUCCUCAUGGCCCUUAUGGGUAGGGCUUCACACGUGAUACAAUGGUCGGUACAGAGGGUUGCCAACCCGCGAGGUGGAGCCAAUCCCAGAAAGCCGAUCGUAGUCCGGAUUGUAGUCUGCAACUCGACUCCAUGAGGUCGGAAUCGGUAGGA
rnacentral:rRNA from 1 species